UGGGGAAUAUUGCGCAAUGGGCGAAAGCCUGACGCAGCAACACCGCGUGAGUGAAGAAGGCCUUUGGGUUGUAAAGCUCUUUCGGCCGGGAAGAAGGGUGGUGGUGCUAAUAACACUGCCAUUUGAUGGUACCGGAAUAAGAAGCACCGGCUAACUUCGUGCCAGCAGCCGCGGUAAUACGAAGGGUGCAAGCGUUGUUCGGAAUUACUGGGCGUAAAGGGUUUGUAGGCGGAAAUGUAAGUCAAGUGUGAAAUCCCCGAGCUAAACUUGGGACGUGCAUUUGAAACUGUGUUUCUUGAGUCUCGUAGAGGAUGGUGGAAUUGCAGGUGUAGGAGUGACAUCCGUAGAGAUCUGCAGGAACAUCGGAGGCGAAGGCGACCAUCUGGGCGCAGACUGACGCUGAAAAACGAAAGCGUGGGGAGCAAACAGG
rnacentral:rRNA from 1 species